rnacentral:misc_RNA from 1 species
GUGGUGGCACUUUCGAUGUUUCGGGUAUCCAAAUUUCUCUGAUAAUCAAAUAUAUACAUCCAUUCAUCAAAGACGAUUGUCUGACAAGUAAUGCAUAGUUUAUCACUAAGAAAGUGACUCGGUGCUUGAAACACCACACACUUCACUAAGAAACAUGGUUUGCAUAAAAAUUAUGCAUGAUAAGCUAUAAACAACACUAAUCCAGUUCAAGUUAUAUUUUCUUUCUACAGUCCUUGAGGUUGGAGAUGGAGUA